ACAGCGGGAGAUAUUGGUGGAGUUCGUAGAACGCCACCCCUACCUAAUCAAAUCGUCAUGUGCUCUGAGCCCGGAGCUCAUCGCGGCGCGCAAGGAUGAUUUGUGGAAAGACGUCGUCUCACUCCUGAACAAUGAAGGCCCUGCAGUGAAAACGAUGAACCGGUGGCGCGCCUUCUGAAACAAGGAGACGCACGAAGCCGCUGUUCACGCCGCAGAGCACAGGUGUGGUUGGGUAAAGUGGUCAGCAGUGAAUGCGCUAACGACUUUUCUUGCAGGGACACUGGGGGUGGCAAGUUGCCUGGACUGCUCGGGCGGAUCCUUUCGCUGGUAGGGGUAGCCAGCGCAACUGUAGUAUGCCCGAGUUUUUUUCAAGACGCCGAAGAGGUAGGUAAUGUCUUGCAUUUGUUUCGGGCCUUCAACCCAGUAAAUGCCGUACAGUUCGCGAGAUUCCGCAUAGAAUCGCACCGGAGGUGUUGUUGUAAUCAUUUAAUUGAGGGAUGCAAUGCACGUUUUCGCUAUCAGGCAAUUGCGAGUGAUAUUAGUUUUAGUUAUAAUUUUUAAAGAUUUUGAUAAUGUCGUAUAAGCGAGAACGCGAUUUCACUAUUGUCGCAAUGACAUUGAACGCGCUUUCACUAGGCGACAUCUGACAGCUCAUGAAAACAGUGAGAAGUUAUAAUUAUCGGUGUGGUGAAACGCUGUGUACCAGGCAGCCAAAGGAGCUUUAGUAAAGCCAACAUUUUCAGCCAUAUGAAAUACGUUUUAAAGAUUUUUUCCACCAAUGAGAAGUAAACAAUGCUAUGAGAUGCCAAGAGCCAAGAGAUGCUGAGAGAUGCUGAGAGAAGCCAAGAGAUGCUGAGAGCCUGCCAGCGGUUGUGUGUCGGUUGGCGAGCAACCGGGUACGAGUGCGAUUCAAGGUUAAACAAAUUUGUUCAGAGAAUUUAGCAUAAUUAACUCACGUCACAGUGGUUGUAUAAGUUUGUACUUGAUGCUGAGCGCUCAUUUUGAUGUUUUUAUGUCACAAUGUCUUUUGGUUCUUCCUAGCACGCCCGCAGCAACAGCCUCACCAGCCCUUGAAGUGACCCGCGCCUUCGGAAAGCGAAGAUGCCGGUAGUAGAAAACGCCCACGGCAGGGUGUCCCAAGCAGAAGCAGGUCCUCCAGAAUGGAUGAGGUGGUGGCAGAUCUAUCUGCGAGUUACGGUCAUUCAGUUCACCUGUAUGACCAGAACCUAACUGUUCUGCAGGACCUCACGACUGGUGUCCGGGCGCUCACCGAUGCUAUAGCUCAGCAGACGGCUGACAUAGCUCAGCUGGGAGACACCGUGCUCCGCCAAACUCUGGCCCAGGAACGCCUGGCGACUGCUGCAGAGCGUCAAGUGCAGCAGAAUGACAUGAUGGUGCAGGAACUUCGCACUUUGACUAGGAUGGCCUCAGCAUUGUUAGUACUGCCGCAGCAGUCGCUCAGAAAUGCGGUCGGCAUUCAGAGGAAUGCUCCAUAAAUAUGUAAAACUAAAUGGCUUUCUUCGCUUGUACCAUUGUGUUUGUAGUUUUUGUACCGUUGGCGUGUACUGUGCCAAGCAGUUCCUAAAGAACAGUCAUUUUCAUCCAGUCUUGACAGUGUGUGCAAGCAGAAGCCGCAUUUUUUUGUUGGCCGAGAACAUGUUCCGCACAUAAUAAUGGGGUCACAAAGGUUUAAACUCGCAAUGACUAAGUGUAGGGCUUACUCCUGCUGCGGUAUCCUACCUCAUGUUUUACAUCUGACUGUAUAAAGACUUCAAUAUCUAUUGCUGCAGUAUCCCAUUGCAUGCUUCAUGCUCAACUGUGAUGCGACGUGCACUUGUAUUGCUGCUGUAUCCUACCUCAGUGUUUUACAUCUGAUUGUGAUAAGACUUCGGUAUCUAUUGCUGCGGUAUCCCGCUGCAUGCUUCAUGCUCAACUGUGAAGCGACUUCAAUAUCUCUUGCCGAGGUAUCUUACGACAUGAUGCAUACUCGACUGUGCUGUGGAUUUAUAGCUUUACCAUCUCUUAAUGCUAGGGUGGUUCAUGUGCGAGUAUAAUGUAUUCAGUCCACGGCCUGUGCUUUGGAUGCAACAGAGCAAAUUUACUUGUAAUGCAUCAGUGUUAUGCAAUUAUAUGUACAAUAAAGAAGCAAUAAAGUUUUCAGAACCACAUUCCAUGUUCUUCAAUAUAUUUUCACAAUGCUCAGUCUGUUCCAGUUUACUUCAGACACAUCGAAAGUAGAGCAGCGACCACCACCUACGGUAGCACGGUGGUCAGUGACCACAUGACCCAACAAGCCAGUUGGGGACAGUUAUGCAAAUGGUUUAGGUUCGCAUUUCACUCAGAGCACUUGUUGAAUAUUGCGAGCGGGCAGAGCCUGCCAAACGGGAACCAAUUAUCUUAAAGCGAGGGUUCCUUCGACUUUCCUGCCAGUGCAGCUGGCUGUGUUGCCUUGAUUCUGUGGGUAGUGGUGCAUGGGCUGUUCUUAGUUGGUGGAGCGAUUCGUCGGGUUAAUUCUGAUUACAGGACUCUUGCCUAUAAAUAGGUGUGGAGUUACCGGCACCUUGCAAUCUUCUUAGACAAGCCGGCGCAAGCUGCAUGAAACAGCACUAAUAGGUAUGUGAUGCCCUUAGAUGUCCGGGGCCUCAGGCGCGUCUUCAUCCAACAGAAAAGAUGGGGUAGCCCGUGGAACUUCUUUCGUGAUUGGCAAACGGUCUUCCAAUUGAUCCCCUUGAACGAGUUAUUCCCAGUAAGCGAGAGUCAUAAUCGCACGUUGAUUACGUUCCUGCCCUUCGUAGACACUGCACGUCACUACUGCCAAUUGAAUGAUUUAGUGAGGUCUUUGAAGCGAUGUCUGUUGUGAAGACGAGCAAACUUUUCAUUUACAGGACGGAACUGCUUUCAUUUUGCCCUUACGUGGACUGGACUGGAAAAACUUAUUUAGGUCCUGCAGGACGCGCUUAGGUCAUUUCUGCAUUGUCUUUUCAUGACGGUCUCUCGUAGUGGUUCCACUGUCGUCAUGCCCAUGACUUUGAGAGUCAGCUAUGCACAAACAUUCACUGAGUCAUCUUGCCGCCAUUGCCACGUUUGCAUCGUUGUCAAUGAAUCACCGUCGUGCCUUCUCCGCGGAACUGUUCAUCAAUUUUUUCGUAGUGAUUUUUACUAUCUGUCAUGUCUUCGUCUUUAUUCAAUCUUCGUCACGCAGCCACCUUGAUGCCAUAAGGGUUGUUCCGUCGUUGUAACACAUGGCAUGUGCACGAUAGAGUUCGUGAACUUUAUGUCGAGCGAGGUAGUUACAAGGGAAAAAUGGCUCCAGCUGUGCCAUAUAAACUCAAUUUGCAAAAUGUUGCCAGCAUGGAUAGUGUUCCUCGCUGACAUCAAUGCAAGCGGCACCAUCAACAAGACCUAAAUAGAUUGUCGAAGCACAUUGAAUUUCGCAGACUUUCCAUUAUCCUCCAGUGGCAUAUGUUGUCAAUGAAUGUUUGCCAAAAGGCUAACACAAAACGUGGAAAACUCGGGGGAAUAUUAUUGCUAAUUGGCGCACUCCCCGUUGCAAACGUGAGCCAUAUGUUCAUUCAUGUUUACCGCUGCCUAAUUUGUCGGCGCAUCCGUCUUCGCACGCUCUGCAAAUAUGCAAUAUAAAGAUUGUGAGGCAGCCUGAACAUUAAUUAUUCCAGAGUGAGCCUGCUUGGCACUCUCGAACAAAACGCAUGGAGGCGGCACUACUUCUGCCAAAGGCAGCGAUGGGGCCUGUGGUGACUGCAUUGGUCUUGUUUCUGCAUCACUCGUACAGCUUGUGCCGUCAUCUUCAGGAUCAUCUGGCCGCGGAUCCCCUGCCUGGAGACAGAGGUUGUGAAGCGCAGCACACACCGCCACAAUGGUGGCUGCUUUGCGGGGUGAGUAGUGCAGCGUACGCUACCCCUGCAGGCACCGGAAAUGGCUUUUAUUGCGAUAGCAAUUAUAUGGACACUCCAAAGCAAAUUUCUGCCGUCGUCGUCACCGUCGUUGUCGCCGUCGUCGUCGCCGUGAGGUUCCGUAUGACGUCAAUGGAGAUGAAAUCGUCGCCGCGCGCCGCCGAACGCUGUAUGUGCGAGUCAAAGGGCGCGAGGGACACGCUCUUUCACGGGGAGUGAACCCACGGCGGAGAACAAACGCGCGUUCUGCGCCGUGCCUCCGUAAGGGCUGCAGAAGUAGGCGUCUCUUUCCUCCUUUACAAUCACCAUAUAUGUAGAGCAAACGCGCCUUCUUCCGACGCGCGAAAGGCGGAGGGGGGGGGUAAGGGUAGGGAAGGGAGGUGACGUUUAGCUGCGGCACCAAGUGCAUAUUUAUAUCAGAGGCUCCGGCAACAGUCAGCAACGCCGCACGCAUUUUUGUGCGAACGCGGGCAAAACGCCGACGGCGUCGACAUUAGUUCUGCGUGUUGCCGGUACUGCUGCAUGUCCAAGUUUAUACAGUUGAUAAAGCUACUAUCAUUACUCCGUAUAGGCUCUCUACAAAUUUGCUAGCGCAAUUGAUGCUUCGCCCUUCAGCUGAACCUGCGACCACUUUUUAGGAUGCCUAUGCAUCUGUCAGCCGCAUUCCUGACGACGGCGUGUGUUUCAUUGUAGCGCCCCUCUGCUGUCAAGCAGCAUCAGGUGUCGGGGCACAAGAGUGAGAAGCCAGGG